rnacentral:rRNA from 1 species
CUACGGGAUGCAGCAGUGGGGAAUAUUGGACAAUGGGGGAAACCCUGAUCCAGCAAUGCCGCGUGUGUGAAGAAGGCCUGCGGGUUGUAAAGCACUUUCGGUUGGGAGGACUGCUUCUAGCACUAAUAUUGUUGGAAGUUGACGUUACCUUCAGAAGAAGCACCGGCUAACUCCGUGCCAGCAGCCGCGGUAAUACUGAGGGUGCAGGCGUUAAUCGGAAUUACUGGGCGUAAAGCGCGCGUAGGCGGCUAGAUUAGUCGGGUGUGAAAGCCCCGGGCUUAACCUGGGAACUGCAUCCGAUACUGUCUAGCUUGAGUACAGGAGAGGAGAGUGGAAUUCCACAUGUAGCGGUGAGAUGCGUAGAUAUGUGGAGGAACACCAAUGGCGAAGGCAGCUCUCUGGCCUGAUACUGACGCUGAGGUGCGAAAGCGUGGGGAGCAAACAGGAUUAGAUACCCCCGUAGUC